GGGAAUGUGGCUUAAUGGUAGAGUUCUUGACUGUCAUGCAUGAAGUCCUGGGUUCGAUUCCUCAGUACCA
rfam:Dipodomys ordii contig_1723, whole genome shotgun sequence.